rnacentral:rRNA from 1 species
AGCCAUCCUUUAAAGAAAGCGUAACAGCUCACUGGUCUAAUCAAGCUGUCCUGCGCCGAAGAUGUACCGGGGCUCAAGCCGCCCGCCGAAGCUGAGGAUGCACGCUUGCGUGCAUGGUAGCGGAGCGUUCCGUAAGCCUGCGAAGGGGUCCUGUGAGGGGUCCUGGAGGUAUCGGAAGUGAGAAUGCUGACAUGAGUAGCGACAAAGAGUGUGAGAAACACUCUCGCCGUAAGUCCAAGGGUUCCUGCGCAAGGCUAAUCCGCGCAGGGUGAGUCGGCCCCUAAGACGAGGGUGAAAGCCGUAGUCGAUGGGAAUCAGGUUAAUAUUCCUGAACCUGGUGGUAGUGACGGAUGCCGGAAGUAGUCUCCUCUUACUGGAUUGAGGGGGCUGCCUGGGCGUUCCAGGAAAUAGCUCCACCGUUAAGACCGUACCCGAAACCGACACAG